rnacentral:rRNA from 1 species
UACGUAGGAUGCAAGCGUUGUCCGGAAUUACUGGGCGUAAAGGGCGAGCAGGUGGCACUACAAGUCUGAUGUAAAAAUCUCCCGGCUUAACUGGGAGGGGCCAUUGGAAACUGUAGAGCUGGAGUGCAGGAGAGGCUAACGGAAUUCCCGGUGUAGUGGUGAAAUGCGUAGAUAUCGGGAGGAACACCAGUGGCGAAGGCGGUUAGCUGGCCUGUAACUGACACUGAGGCGCGAAGGCUAGGGGGAGCGAACAGG